UACGGAGGGGGCUAGCGUUGUUCGGAAUUACUGGGCGUAAAGCGCGCGUAGGCGGCUUUGUAAGUUAGAGGUGAAAGCCCGGAGCUCAACUCCGGAAUUGCCUUUAAGACUGCAUCGCUAGAAUCAUGGAGAGGUGAGUGGAAUUCCGAGUGUAGAGGUGAAAUUCGUAGAUAUUCGCAAGAACACCGGUGGCGAAGGCGGCCAACUGGUCCGGAUCUGACGCUGAGGCGCGAAAGCGUGGGGAGCAAACAGG
rnacentral:rRNA from 1 species